UACGUAGGGGGCAAGCGUUGUCCGGAUUUAUUGGGCGUAAAGCGCGUGUAGGCGGUCCGGUAAGUCCGCUGUGAAAGUCGGGGGCUCAACCCUCGAAUGCCGGUGGAUACUGUCGGGCUAGAGUGCGGAAGAGGCGAGUGGAAUUCCUGGUGUAGCGGUGAAAUGCGCAGAUAUCAGGAGGAACACCAAUUGCGAAGGCAGCUCGCUGGGACGUAACUGACGCUGAGACGCGAAAGCGUGGGGAGCAAACAGG
rnacentral:rRNA from 1 species